rnacentral:antisense_RNA from 1 species
UCUACAACGAUCUUCGGUCAUAGGGAGGCAUACUAAGCCGCGAGCAUGGGUAACCAUAAAAUUAAUGGCCUCUGGCGUAACGUGCUCAGCGGCCAUGAUG